rnacentral:rRNA from 1 species
ACUGCUCAGUAACACGUAGCUAACCUAACCUUAAGUCAGGGAUACCCUCGGGAAACUGAGAAUAAUACCUGAUAGAAAAUUUUUUCUGGAAUGUGAAAUUUUUCAAAUUCGAGCUUAAGGAUGGGGCUGCGGCUGAUUAGGUAGUUGUUGGUGUAAAAGACUAACAAGCCGAAGAUCAGUAAGGGCUCUUAGCGGAGAAGCCCUGAGAAUGAAUCUGAGAUACUAUUCAUAUCCCUACGGGGGGCAGCAGUCGAGAAUUUUUUGCAAUACACGCAAGUGUGACAAAGCGAACCAGAGUGUUUGAUUUAUCAAACUUUUUUCUGCUGUAAAAACGCAGAAGAAUAAGGACUGGGCAAGACCGGUGCCAGCCGCCGCGGUAAUACCGGCGGUCCAAGUCGCAUUCGUUAUUAUUGGGUCUAAAACAUUCGUAGCUUGUUUUGUAAGUCUCUUGUGAAAUCUUACAUCUUAAGUGUAAGGCGUGCAAGAGGUACUACAAAGCUAGAGAUCGGUAGACGUAACAAGUAUGAAUUAGGUAACGGUAAAAUGUGUUAAGCUUAUUCAGACUAACAAUGGCGAAGGCAUGUUACGAGCACGAAUCUGACAGUGAGGAAUGAAGGCUAGGGGCGCAAAUUGGAUUAGAUACCCAAGUAGUCCUAGCAGUAAACCCUGCUCACUAAACAUUGGGACCUCCUCGAGAGGUUUCAGUGCUGUAGGGAAGCCGAAGAGUGAGCUACCUGGGAAGUAUAGUCGCAAGGCCGAAACUUAAAGGAAUUGGCGGGGGAGCAC